CAAUAGCGUAUAUUAAAGUUGUUGCGGUUAAAAGCUCGUAGUUGGAUUUCUGUUGAGAACAGCCGGUCCGCAUUUUGUGCGUGUAUCUGGAUUGGACUCGGCAUCCUUUCAAAGAACGCAACUGUGAUUCAGUUCAUGGUGCGGUGCUUUGGAACAUUUACUUUGAGGAAAUUAGAGUGUUCACGGCAGGCAAUCGCCCUGAAUAUAUUAGCAUGGAAUAAUACUAUAGGAUCUUGGGUCUAUUUUGUUGGUUUCUAGAACUAAGAUAAUGAUUAAUAGGGACAAUUGGGGGCAUUCGUAUUAACACGUCAGAGGUGGAAUUCUUAGAUUGUGUUACGACGAACUACUGCGAAAGCAUUUGCCAAGGAUGUUUUCAUUGAUCAAGAACGAAAGUGAGGGGAUCGAAGACGAUCAGAUACCGU
rnacentral:rRNA from 1 species